CUGAAAAGUGUUUAAAAAUAUAUGGUGGCCCAUUUAAAAAUUGGAAUUUGAUCUUGUUAUAAAAAAAAAAACGGCCCAUUCGAUUAACCCAAUUUUUGAGUACAUUUUCGAUUGUGUGCGGCUCUAUUUCAGCAAUAGCUGCAUGAAUUUCGGUCUUGAGGUCUUGAAUUGUUUCUGGAUUGCUUGCAUAACAUUUAUCUUUCACCGCUCCCCACAGAAAAUAGUCCAAUGGCGUCAAAUUGCAGCUCAGCGGAGGCCAGGUCACAUCACCAUUUUUGCUGAUUAUGCGAUUUUCGAGGAUUGGACGCAGAAUUUCGAUUGUGGCAUGCGCUGUGUGGCACGUUGCGUCAGUCAGUUAACAUUGCGCUCACCAUUGACGGUUACGGUGGCUCCUUCAUCAUUUUCGAAGAAAAAUGGGCCGAUGAUGCCACCAGACCAAAAUCCGUACCAAACAGUGACUUGUUGUGGGUGCAUUGGCUUUCCUACGACGACAUGUGGAUUUUCUGUGCCCCAGAUACGACAAUUUUGCUUGCUAACAUAAACACCGAGAUGAAAAUGUGCUUGAGUUGUAGGCGCAUUUUUUUUUACCAAACUUUUUUUUUAAAAUUUCGCACUGUUUGAAGACUCACCACUUUGGGAAUAAGUUUUUAAUAUUUCCCAACUUUCUUCAAGCGAAUAGCGUCCCAUUUCGUAAAUAUCAAACAUAUAACUAACUAUUUAUGGCGUCACGGAUGACAUUUGACGUUUGACUGUCAUACAAUCCGUCAUUCAAAUUCCAAACACUAGAUGGACCACCCUAUAUAACAAAUUUGAAAAAUGAAGAAAAAUUGAAAUUCUGUUGUCUUUUGAAAAAAAUUGAAAUAAAUCCAUUGCUAAAUUAGUCAGUAAACUUAA